UGAUAUCAACAGGCGUGAACAAUGUUGUGCGGCCAACUACGAACAAGUUGUCAACCAUGUUGUUCCAAGUUGUUACAGUUGAACAAUGCUGUAACAACAUGUUGACAAUACUGUUCAUAGUGGGCCGCACAACCUUGUUCACGCCUGUUAAUGAUAUC
rnacentral:miRNA from 1 species